AGGCCUGUGACCCAAAGAUGUCUCAAGCGCCGAGCGUUCAAUGGUGCCCGCGAAGCUGCUGUCUCGUGGUGGGCUGGCCUGCGUGAGAGUCCGCUGGAAGCUGGCCCCGGAGUUGCCCCUGGGAGAGACCGGACCAGGUGGUGGGUGCGCCGGGGCUUCACCCAUGUCUCUCCCUUAACCCUCCCGACACCUCGUCCGGCUUCCUCUAAAAGGUACAUCAUGAGGUUGACCUGCAGGAUGCAAGGAGAGCCCUGACGCAAGUACUUGAGAGCCUGUUGUGUACAGGGUGACAGAGGACACCUCCGGAGCACAGUCACAGGUUUGCCCUCAAACACACCAUCCCUGGCAGUCGCUGUGUACGUGAGCAUUAAAGGCUCUGAGAAAUCCUGCA